GAAGAUCUUUUGAACUCUGAGGUUCAAGACCACGCGUGCUUCUCACAUUUAUUGAGACAGAGAGUAUUAAUCAACAGCGGUUCAAGUUUCCACAAUGAGCUAUACAUCAUCUAAACUCACAUGGAUAUACCAGUGUUUUGUAGUGUGAGGAUAAUAAGGUGAAGUGAGGCUGCUGCUCACCGGUGGCUCGCCGGCCAUCCGAGAGCCGGAAUUGCGGCCCCACGCGAGGGAAAGAUCAGCGUUGCUGCAACCACGGCAGGACACCCACCAUGCGCGUACCAUACAGGCAGCAGCAGCCUCACUUCACCUUGGAUGACAUGAAGAUUAUGAAAUAUUCAGUCAUCCCCCUUGGGUCUACCUGUUAGAAACUUGGACCUACUCAUGUGUUUGAGAUGAUUGUGCAGAAAAGAUGAAAAACGGGAUACAAUUCUAUGUGAGAGAUGACCGCUAAAGGAGUGCGAUGCCACCAUCCUGUGCCACAAACCAUACCAAGAAUGGCGGGUUAUGGAUAGAGUUCAUUUGAUCCAUCUGAUAAAAAUACCUAUUGGGGAAUAGGCAUGAAAAGUAAUCAACCACUCUUUCCGCAGUGGAGUUCGGCCAUGAUGAUCAGAAGUUUAGGACCACACUGUAGUCAAGAAAAAGGAAUGAUCUUCACUGUGUUAAGUGUACCCGCUCCAGAUUUCAUCGACAGUAAAUGGUCCACUGCUAUUGGCAGGUGCCUUCUUGCACUCUUCUGACCCAGAUACGUAAGAGCAUGGCUCAAAACUCACAGAGAGUCACAACUUUGAAAUGGUUUUAUUUAAACAAUGAAACAAUGUUAUUUGACUGAAAAUCUGCACUAUAUUUUGAUUAUGGGGACACAGCUGAAAUGUAUACACCAAGAAAACAUAACUCUUUUCAGUUGAAUUUCAAAUUCAUGUUGUGAAAAUCAAAUCCAUUUCAAAUUCCAUGUUUUCGGCUAGAAUGAUUAAUGCUACACCGCUGCUGAUGCCAAAGGUUGUGACACUUUUUUAAUGAUAGUGCAAAUUGAUUGAUGAUGCAGCGCAAGUAGUACAAGUUCAUCAUGUCCACUGCCCAUCCAUGAAUUGUUUUACGAUUGUUUUUCCCGCUGCAAUACACGGGCACAUUGUAGGAGGAAUAUGUAUGCGUUGGUGGGUGCUGGAGGUUCCCUGCAACACGCGAGGAUCCGAUGGCGAGCCGUAGGUCGGGGAAGUCGUCAGCAUACAUAUAAGGAGAUGGAGGUGGAGGUGGCGGUGGAGGGAGACAGGCAUUCACUACUCGUCGGAGGGCGAGGGCACGGAGGACAACCGGCACGACGGUUACCACGCCUUCCUCCCGUCGAAUCACUCAAGCACGACGUCCUGGUCCUCUCUAUCCAUUGGCCCCCUCCAACAUCUACCAUGAUGACCACAUCUUGUUUGUGUAGCAGCAGCGGCGGCCAUCCAUGAUCUUCUUUUGUGCCGACCUGCUAGAAACAGGUUGGGCUAUAGACAACUAGAGAUUGGUCACCUGUCUAGCAGCUCAUUUCUGAAAACAAAGACCAGGUCUAUGUGUUCAAAAUCAUGAAGGAGGAUGUCAAAGUGUUUCUGCAGCGCAUCAGGCGGAAGAAAAAGCAACAUGAAGUUCCCAUCUACAUCAAACUGCUUUCACUUAUAUUCUGCCGAAUUUGUUCCAUCUAUAGGACUGUACAUGGAGAUUAUCUAUAAGGGUUAUGUCCCGUGCAAGGAGAUUAUUUUAUAGGACAGGCAUAUCAGCCCCCAUUCAGACAUAGCAGAUAUUCAACAGAAGAAGUUCCUCCACUGCUACUGGCCAAACUCUAAGCAAAAAGACCUUCCACUUUCCUUGCUAAUGGUGAGCAACUCAAAGAUGGCUACAAGGUUACACUUAAUAUUUACUCUCUGUAUAACAUAUUAUUUAUUUGACCAAUACAUGUAUAAAUGCCUUGAGAGAACAUGUAUAUAUAGCUGCAUAUAUGUUAUAUCUGAACAAUGGCAGAUUUGACCAUUAAUUACAUGUAUAUACUUGCUAGGAGAGAACGUGUAUAGCUUUCAGUUAAGCUUUUCGAUCAUUAAGCUGUUACUUUCUCAUCUUAUUUCUAGGUAGAAACA